ACUGCUGCAGAAAAACUAAGAUCUGGGCGCCCUAAACCCAGUUCUGGGCGCCCAGAACUUCCAGCCUGCACAAACAGUACCUCGGUUCCUCCGUCCGACGGUCAGCUACACCGCUAUCCAGUUCCGGCGGAUCUCACCUACCACACCCAUGUGUAAACACAAUCGAUAUUCACGAUGUGAAUUUUCGGGUCCAGUUUUU
rnacentral:lncRNA from 1 species